CCUACGGGUGGCAGCAGUGGGGAAUUUUCCGCAAUGGGCGAAAGCCUGACGGAGCAAUACCGCGUGAGGGAGGAAGGCUCUUGGGUUGUAAACCUCUUUUCUCAAGGAAGAAUGCAAUGACGGUACUUGAGGAAUAAGCAUCGGCUAACUCCGUGCCAGCAGCCGCGGUAAUACGGAGGAUGCAAGCGUUAUCCGGAAUGAUUGGGCGUAAAGCGUCCGCAGGUGGCUUUGUAAGUCUGCUGUUAAAGAGUCACGCUCAACGUGAUAAAAGCAGUGGAAACUACAAGGCUAGAGUGCGUUCGGGGCAGAAGGAAUUCCUGGUGUAGCGGUGAAAUGCGUAGAGAUCAGGAAGAACACCGGUGGCGAAAGCGUUCUGCUAGGCCGCAACUGACACUGAGGGACGAAAGCUAGGGGAGCGAAUGGGAUUAGAUACCCUUGUAGUC
rnacentral:rRNA from 1 species